AUUGAACGCUGGCGGCAUGCCUUACACAUGCAAGUCGAACGGCAGCACGGGAGCAAUCCUGGUGGCGAGUGGCGAACGGGUGAGUAAUACAUCGGAACGUGCCCAGUAGUGGGGGGAUAACCCGGCGAAAGCCGGACUAAUACCGCAUACGACCUACGGGUGAAAGCAGGGGAUCGCAAGACCUUGCGCUAUUGGAGCGGCCGAUGUCAGAUUAGCUUGUUGGGGGGUAAAAGCCUACCAAGGCAACGAUCUGUAGCUGGUCUGAGAGGACGACCAGCCACACUGGGACUGAGACACGGCCCAGACUCCUACGGGAGGCAGCAGUGGGGAAUUUUGGACAAUGGGCGCAAGCCUGAUCCAGCCAUGCCGCGUGCGGGAAGAAGGCC
rnacentral:rRNA from 1 species